CCUACGGGAGGCUGCAGUCGAGAAUCAUUCACAAUGGGGGAAACCCUGAUGGUGCGACGCCGCGUGGGGGAAUGAAGGUCUUCGGAUUGUAACCCCCUGUCAUGUGGGAGCAAAUUAAACAGUUAGUACCACAACAGGAAGAGACGGCUAACUCUGUGCCAGCAGCCGCGGUAAUACAGAGGUCUCAAGCGUUGUUCGGAAUCACUUUGCGUAAAGCGUGCGUAUGCUGUUUCGUAAGUCGUGUGUGAAAGGAGCGGGCUGAACCCGCGGACGGCACCCGAUACUGCGAGACUAGAGUAAUGGAGGGGAAAGCGGAAUUCUCGGUGUAGCAGUGAAAUGCGUAGAUAUCGAGAGGAACACUCGUGGCGAAGGCGGGUUCCUGGACAUUAACUGACGCUGAGGCACGAAGGCCAGGGGAGCGAAAGGGAUUAGAUACCCUGGUAGUC
rnacentral:rRNA from 1 species